rnacentral:rRNA from 1 species
ACGAACGCUGGCGGCGUGCUUAACACAUGCCAGUCGAACGGAAAGACCCUGCUUUUGUGGGGUGCUCGAGUGGCGAACGGGUGAGUAACACGUGAGUAACCUGCCCUUGACUUUGGGAUAACUUCAGGAAACUGGGGCUAAUACCGGAUAGGAGCUCCUGCUGCAUGGUGGGGGUUGGAAAGUUUCGGCGGUUGGGGAUGGACUCGCGGCUUAUCAGCUUGUUGGUGGGGUAGUGGCUUACCAAGGCUUUGACGGGUAGCCGGCCUGAGAGGGUGACCGGCCACAUUGGGACUGAGAUACGGCCCAGACUCCUACGGGAGGCAGCAGUGGGGAAUAUUGCACAAUGGGCGGAAGCCUGAUGCAGCAACGCCGCGUGCGGGAUGACGGCCUUCGGGUUGUAAACCGCUUUCGCCUGUGACGAAGCGUGAGUGACGGUAAUGGGUAAAGAAGCACCGGCUAACUACGUG